AUACCAGGGGUGUUUUGCAUCAGGCGACAGUGGAUUUUCCGAAGCACUGCUGCAACACAUUGAAUAAUGGGAUCUAAGUGGAUUUACCACUAGCUGUAUACCUUGGACAGACACAAACCAUUUUAUCAGUCACUGGGAAAACACUUCACUUUGACUUUAUCAAUGUCACGGAAGAAGCUUAUCGGCGUGGAGGUGAGAGACCCUGUGGUGGCGUAAGAAUACAUGUGUUGCAAUCCUAGCUGUCUGUUGCAAAACGCCCGAGAAGAUCGUCACAUUGAUCGUUCCCUGUUAAAUAGGACGAUAGGACUCAGAGCGUGAAAAAGGACUACCUCAACCUCAAGAUUUGUUAUCGCUGCAAUAGUCCAAGAUGGCUGCCAUAAGAAGUUUGUUGGCUGUGGUAUCGAUCUUCCUCAUGAUAAACAGUGUUGAGAUGAAGACUGAAACCUGCUGGGCCAACGACCAGUGCGGGUCAUGCUCCUCGGCACAGCCGAAUGUCUUUGGUGUGGGCACAGUUUGCUGUCCGGGGUGUGCCCCCGGCGUUCUGCAGAUGGUUGAAGGCAGAUCGUGCACGUGCGACGUUUCCGUUGCAGGUCCUCCUCUGAGAGUGUCAGUCUUUGCGUCCGCAAUCACACUGACCCUGUCCAUCUGCCUGAAACAUCUCCUGCACUGAAACCUGUUCUUUCUGACACUGUCAGUCUGUGUUAUACAUUUGCUUAUAUAUACCCCGUCCUCUGAAACUGUCCAUCUGUCUGCAACAUCUCCCAUAAUGAAGCUUGGUAUUGAUGACAUUCUUAAUUUGCCUGAAACAUGUCCUACAAUGAAGCUUGGUAUUGAUGACAUUCUCCAUCUGUCUGCAACAUCUCCCAUAAUGAAGCUUGGUAUUGAUGACAUUCUUAAUUUGCCUGAAACAUGUCCUACAAUGAAGCUUGGAAUUGCUGACAUUCUCCAUCUGCCUCAAAGAUCUCCCACAAUGAAGCAAGACCCUUCUUACACUGUCCAUUGAUGCAUCUCCUACAUAUAUAUCUUGUCCAUGACAACCUGUGCUAUUAACUCUGUGUUAAUACAAUAUAAAUCUAGACCAUAAUUUGGUCUUUGUGCUUGCUGUUCAAGAAGCCAUAUGCCUAGCAUGAAGAUGCACCAUAUGAAGACGUCAUAACGGUCAUGACAAGCAUCUGAAGUGUGUUAUAUUUAACAUCUGUUUCAGUUUUCUAUGGACAUUCCCUUUGCGUAUGGAAAAUGUAUAAAAAUGUUCCUUUUUCUAUAAA